AGUUUGCAGCCAUACCGGAAUGGGAGGUCAGACAGAGCAGUCUAUUUGUGGCAAUAAGAUAUCAAAUUAUAAACAGAACUGAAGGCCAUGCCAGACAAGGGUUAAGUCACACAGCCUUGGACUUAAAAAAUAAACUAUGCUCCAACUGCUACAAGGCUUUUCUUUUUCUCAAGGAGGUAAACAAGCACUGGCCUCAAGAUAAGCAAUAUUAAAACAACUACAGCUCAUCCAACUCUUAGACACUGACUUCCAGCCCCUGUUCCACCAGAUAUACCUUUCAUUAAACAAGAUCCUGAUUUCAGUAACUUUCUCCAGAGAAGAAGACCACCGACCUUAGACUGGUUCUGGUUGGAUUAAAGAGAGUGUACCCUUGCAUGCCAUUGUGUCCUGCAAGACAUUUUGACGUAUAGAACCUAAUUAUAAAACCAUUAAAUGUUAAGUCUCUACCCCGAAGUGGACAAGGAUUGUAUGUUACAUGCAUUUUUGUUCAAUAUGCAUGUGUCAGGAUCAUCUUCAUAAAUAUUCAUAGCUCCGCCUGUAACCAGUUUAAUAUGUAUGUUUAGCCAACCCAUUCGGCAUAAAGCUCUUGCCCCAACCCCUCUUUUUUCAAAGUGCCUGUCUUUGAUCUUGGUUGGACACAUGUUUUCCAGCCUACGGGAUGACCACCUUGCAGAUUGUCACCCUUUAAUUAUGAAGAAAUGAAGUCUCCAUUUCUACUUUCCAAAUUUAUCGAUAUUGUGGUUACAUUUUUUAAGUUAGCAGUUAUUUAGACCUUACUUUUUUCUAGGCUCUUUGUUGUCUCAUAUUGUGACUGGGCUUGGCUGGAUGACCAGCAGUGCCAUUUCUUCUUCUGAGGGGGAGUAACUAGACAUUUCCCACCUCCCUUACAGUUCAGUGUGGUUAUGUGACUGGUUUCUAGCCAAUAGGAACUAAGAUGAUGUCUUCCCAACAUGAUCUUUGGCUCUCUCUCUUUUUCCAAAUAUAUAGCAAGAAGGAAAGGAUUUCAAGUCACUAGGAAUGAUGGAACCACAAAAUAGAAGGAACUUGAAUAGAAGGAACUUUGAAUAGAAGGAUUGAAAGAAAGCAGAGCCUCUCUUUCAAUCCGCACUGGACUGUGGCAAGAUCAAGAAAUUAACAUUGAAUGUGUAAGCCACUGAAAAUUUGCAGAUGUUGGUUAGUACAUACUGAUUAAUGCACCUAUUAAGAUAAACUUAAGAGUAGGUUUUGAAUAAUUCAAAUAUCCUACAAAAUUCAGGUAGGUUUGGAAAAUUUGCAAGGACUUUAUUAAUAUUAUUUAUUCUCUAUCUCCUAGUAAUGCCACUGAACUUUUAAUUAUGUAAGGGUUGGAAAGUGCCAACAUCUACCUGUAGACAUAGCUUCUCAAUACUGGAUUUUGGUUAAUCAAUGCAAAGGAAGAGGCAAAGUAAGAUUCUUUCAAUUAAUCUGUCCUUGAAUGUGAAGAACUCUUGUUAGCAUUUCUUCUACUCAGUAGAAAAGUAGUACACCCUGGUUUUCUCUAUUUGCAAAUGUUAAAGUUUUUCUUGGUGGAAGCACAUUGAUAAAUGAGGCAUCUUAGGACUAGAAGAAAUCUUAGGAAUGAUACAGUCCAGUCCACUUACAGUUCAGUACACAUUCCAUUUUAGAAUGGAAGAAAUUUAGGAACUGAAAGUAUGAGUGAAACUGAUAGUUGCUGGCACAGCCAAGAAUCAAACUCAAGUUUCCUGACUUCUUACUUUUCAGUGUUGUUUUCACGACAGUGUUCCCAACCAUUACUCCCACCCCUACAUAAGCCUUAUGUCCUAUGGCAUGGUUAAGUUAGAAAAACAGAAGGUUAACAUUUGUGUCAUUUGUUAUCAGUUUUCCUUGUAAGACUUCCUGAAAUAAUCGUCAGCAUUCAAAAGCAAGUUUAAAAGAAGAGCAAAAUGCUUUGGAGUGAAAUUAUGGCUUAUCAAGAGUAUGAAUUUUUGGUGAAAAAAAUGGAUAUUGAAAACAAAAUUAAAAGAUAUUGGCUGUUUGCUUAAAUAUCCUCAGAAUAAUGGCUAGUGUAAAAAUUAGCACCAUUGAUAUACCCAUAGCAGGUGAGCAAUUAAGUGAACCAAGAGCACUUUGCUUUAAUGUACAUGAAAGUGCUUUGAAGAGUGUAAGAAUGAUUCUUAUGUUAGUUGUUGCAGUAAUAAUCCUAGGAGCAUACACAGUGGGUGCUCAGUAAAUGUUGACUGAUGCUUUCCUUCUGCCUCCAGGCUGCGCAAUACCUAAAACAUUUCAGACAGAUGAAAAUCUGAUCUCUGUUUAAAGUUGGUCUCUGAGAAAGAUAAUUUUCAGCCUCCUGAAAAUGGAAUAUUCCACAAUCUUGUUCUCAAAUUCCUACAUGUCUACAACUCUCUGACUUGAAAGGCAGCUGUCUCUUUUAGGUGUUCCCACUCCGUAACCUUUGGAGUCAAUGAGGCCCCCGAUCUGAGUGAGGUUGCAGUUUCUCUGCGUCACAUACUCAAUGCUGGUGGACUCCAUCAGCAGCGCGUAGUCUGUGGUGGAGAUUUUUGAUUUCUGGAGGGAAAGAAAACACACUCACCAGCAGAAGAGGGCUGGAAAAAUACGACCUAAAGGUAUUCAAAGUCCCAAUGGUUCAAAUAAUGAUAGGGAGGAUACUUUCUCCACAGGUGGGGGAGUCAAGAUUGAUGAUCUCAAGGCUUCACUUUUGUAGCUGAGAAGAGCCCAGUUCACUCACUAUUGGACAGCAUUUGCACGGAGGCAGCUAUUACAUGGAGACCUUGAUCUAUAAGCCAUUGUGGCCCACUGGGCUAAGGGGUGACUAGCUCACUCCAGGACUCUGUUCAUUUCAUGCAUUUUCCUUUCAAUCACUCAACUCCAGCAGGUAUUGUUUUGCUGUUUCCAGGUGUAUAAGUUUCAAUCCUUGAUCUAGCAUUCUUCUGCUGGGGAGAGCCCUGGAGUAAACCACUGACUUCCUCUGCUUUAUUUGUGAGAGAACUGUCAUUCACUCUUCUCUUUUCUAGAAAACCCAGAAUGUAAAUGCUCUUUUCAAAUUAAAAUUUAGAUAAGAAAAAUCUUCAGCCAGGCCUGGUGGCUCACACCUGUAA
rnacentral:lncRNA from 1 species